GUCUGUAGAACCUGACGGAUCCGCCACGAUGCUGAUGCUGUGGACAUUUGCAGUGCUACUGGGAGCAGUAGAUGGUAAGAAAAGAUGUGUGUGGAGAUGGGAGAGCCUUACUGUGUGGGUCUUCCCAAGCCAUGACAGCCAGGUACAAGCCAUGAUAAGGAUGAGGAGUCAAGUGGGUUUAAUGGAGUUAGAUCACAAUCACUUAGGCUAUGCUGUCAGAGAAAGCCCCCGUGGUCUGGUCAAGUGGAUCGAAAAUACACAAAUAAAUCAGAUGAGC
rnacentral:lncRNA from 1 species